ensembl:lncRNA
CCGGAAAGGAGAUGUGGGCGGAGCAGCGAGUUCUUGGAGUGGGCUUAGGCUCAGCCGGUGGGCAACGGUUCCCACCUAUUCUGAGCUGUUCCCUUAGACGAGUCAACCCCGUGUGGUGGCUGUUAGGAUUAGCUCAUUAUUUACAAUAGCCGAAACAUGGAAACAACCAAGACAAGGACACAAUCGAAUAGACGAAUGGAUAAAAUAUGGAAAAAGAAAUUAAGACUCAAAAGAAACACCAAGGAUGCUCCAGGAGAGAGGAAAACCCAGUGAGAACAUCGGGGGACGACAGCCAUCUGCAACCCAAGGAAAGAGGCUUCUCACGAAACCCAACCUUGAUCUCACCCUCCCAGCCCCCAGAACU